UGCAGUCGAGCGGAGUGAUGGUGCUUGCACUAUCACUUAGCGGCGGACGGGUGAGUAAUGCUUAGGAAUCUGCCUAUUAGUGGGGGACAACAUCUCGAAAGGGAUGCUAAUACCGCAUACGUCCUACGGGAGAAAGCAGGGGAUCACUUGUGACCUUGCGCUAAUAGAUGAGCCUAAGUCGGAUUAGCUAGUUGGUGGGGUAAAGGCCUACCAAGGCGACGAUCUGUAGCGGGUCUGAGAGGAUGAUCCGCCACACUGGGACUGAGACACGGCCCAGACUCCUACGGGAGGCAGCAGUGGGGAAUAUUGGACAAUGGGGGGAACCCUGAUCCAGCCAUGCCGCGUGUGUGAAGAAGGCCUUAUGGUUGUAAAGCACUUUAAGCGAGGAGGAGGCUCUUUUGGUUAAUACCCAAGAUGAGUGGACGUUACUCGCAGAAUAAGCACCGGCUAACUCUGUGCCAGCAGCCGCGGUAAUACAGAGGGUGCAAGCGUUAAUCGGAUUUACUGGGCGUAAAGCGCGCGUAGGCGGCCAAUUAAGUCAAAUGUGAAAUCCCCGAGCUUAACUUGGGAAUUGCAUUCGAUACUGGUUGGCUAGAGUGUGGGAGAGGAUGGUAGAAUUCCAGGUGUAGCGGUGAAAUGCGUAGAGAUCUGGAGGAAUACCGAUGGCGAAGGCAGCCAUCUGGCCUAACACUGACGCUGAGGUGCGAAAGCAUGGGGAGCAAACAGGAUUAGAUACCCUGGUAGUCCAUGCCGUAAACGAUGUCUACUAGCCGUUGG
rnacentral:rRNA from 1 species